rnacentral:tRNA from 1 species
GGCGAUCUAGUUUAAGUAAAAACAUCUGUUUGUCAAGCAGAAAAUCCAUAUAAAGAUGGGACCGCCU